CUCACGGUAACAGAAAGUGGCGGCUGGUGGACGGCGAAGAGCCACAGCCAAUCCAAACAACAAAGGACAUGAAGCCGGUACUGACACUGGGUGUGAUGUCAGUCCAUCAUAGGAUGCAUUCUUGAUUACAUCGGAACAAUAUAUUCGUAGGUAGCAGUGCCAAGAAAACCCCCAGUGAGGGCAACUGAGCCAUGCCCAUGACCCUCUCCGAAACCCUGCCUCUUCUCAUUAAGAACUAUAACUACCAAUGUCCUCAGGAGGAAUGACGUCAGAUGUGAAACAGACCUUCUGCAUGUUGGACAUACCUGAUCUUGACCAGCUCAAUAGAGCCUUUAAACCAGACAAGCCAAACAGACGAGAUGAUUGACAACCUCACCACCUCUGACAUCACUUCCGGUGUGUGUCCACCUGGAGCCAUCUCUUCCUGCCUG